AAAUAAGAAGUAAAUUUUUACAUUUAGUUUCGACCUAAAAAUUUGGUGAAUUAUCACCCUUAUUUA
rnacentral:tRNA from 1 species